AACGAACGCUGGCGGCAUGCCUAACACAUGCAAGUCGAACGAGACCUUCGGGUCUAGUGGCGCACGGGUGCGUAACGCGUGGGAACCUGCCCUUAGGUUCGGAAUAACUCCCCGAAAGGGGUGCUAAUACCGGAUAAUGUCUUCGGACCAAAGAUUUAUCGCCUUUGGAUGGGCCCGCGUAGGAUUAGCUAGUUGGUAGGGUAAAAGCCUACCAAGGCGACGAUCCAUAGCUGGUCUGAGAGGAUGAUCAGCCACACUGGGACUGAGACACGGCCCAGACUCCGACGGGAGGCAGCAGUGGGGAAUAUUGGACAAUGGGCGAAAGCCUGAUCCAGCAAUGCCGCGUGAGUGAUGAAGGCCUUAGGGUUGUAAAGCUCUUUUACCCGGGAUGAUAAUGACAGUACCGGGAGAAUAAGCUCCGGCUAACUCCGU
rnacentral:rRNA from 1 species